rnacentral:rRNA from 1 species
GAUGAACGCUGGCGGCGUGCUUAAUACAUGCAAGUCGAACGGAGACAGUAGCAAUAUUGUCUUAGUGGCGAACGGGUGAGUAACGCGUUGGUGACCUGCCCCGAAGAGGGGGAUAACAGUCCGAAAGGAUUGCUAAUACCCCAUGUGGUCGUUUGGAUUAGAUGCCUUAUGACUAAACGGAUUUAUUCGCUUCGGGAGGGGCCUGCGUCCCAUCAGCUAGUUGGUAAGGUAAUGGCUUACCAAGGCGAUGACGGGUAGGGGACCUGAGAGGGUGGCCCCCACAAUGGAACUGAAACACGGUCCAUACACCUACGGGUGGCAGCAGUAGGGAAUAUUGGUAAUCUGGGAAACCGGGAACCAGCAACGCCGCGUGCGCGAUGAAGGCCUUCGGGUUGUAAAGCGCUUUUUGAGGGGAUGAGGAAGGACAGUACCCUCAGAAUAAGCCUCGGCUAACUACGUGCCAGCAGCGCGGUAAACUGUAGUCGU